AUAUUACAAGGAGAAAAGGUCCAACCUCAGCUGUCCUAGGUCAAGCAAACUGCUGUGUGAAGGUUUCAAGACACUUGGGUGCUGGGGCUCCCGUAUUCUACCC
rnacentral:miRNA from 1 species